CCUUGUACAUCUCUUGGGCCACUAACAAUUCUAAAUCUGCCAAAUUCAUGGACCUCUUAGCCCAAAAGCCUGCCAGAUAUUGUAUGCAUGGUUCUUCACAUCUAGUAGGAGCUUAGGAGGGCUUCCCUGCAAUGCAAAGCAAGGUCUCUUUUCAGCAACGUAACCUUCAUAUCAAAUUCUGAUUUCGGGUUGAUUGUGCUCUUUGCUGCUUUGGCAGUGAGCUUAAGGGGACAUUAUAGGACAUUUUGUUUUGUUUAUUUGCUGCUGAAGGUACCUUGCUCUUUCUCUAUCUUUUUCUUCCUCAUGACUCGAGCUUCGCUCAAUGCCUUAAACCAGAGCCUAGUAAACUCAGCCAAUUUCUAUGGGAACUUCAUAUCAAAAUUACCCUUUUCUUCAUCCUCAGCUUCUUCACUUCAAACCAUUGAAAACUCUCAGUGUAAACCGCUCUUAAAUCCACUUUACAAUCUUCUUCCUGAAACCCGAAACCC